rnacentral:sRNA from 2 species
UUCUGACGAUAAAAUAUUGCUUCUCUUAGAGCUCUGAUAGCAGUGCAAAGCGGCGUCCCUCCUGCAGCAAAUUCGCAAUUCCAUUUGGCCUCGCCCUUCAAAUGUCAGCAGUGGAGAGAAUUGGAGGAUGUCCUUUUGAUUUAAUGACCAAUUUCCAGACAUCUACUCUGUUUUCAAUUCCUCUCAGCACCAUGAAUCCAUAUUCCUAUCAAGCUCCAUGCCCAAAAUCCAUUUCCGUCACUCCCUUUCCUAGAUCACAUAUCUCCGCGUUCGCGAUUUUCAACCCGAUUCCAGAACCAACAAAAAUUUUUUUUCCUUGUCCCAACCUGUAUUAUACCAGGUGGAAUCAUCAUAAAGCAAUAUGAAAGCAAGCCCCCAAUCUUCUCCAAUUUGAUCAAACUGCCUAGGACUCCCGCUGCGAGAAAAGCUACCUCUUGCCUGUAUAAUACACCACGUUUGUUAACCUCCACCUCACGCCUCGUCGCUGCAGCCCAGCAUUCCAAAUACUCCAUUUUCAGCAAUAUCGCACUCACUGCCACCAUGCGCGUCUAACCCAUUCUCACCCGGUUCCCCUGAAACACAUUUCUUAGUUGUGGAAUUUAUGGCGCAAAAUUCACUAUACAACUCUCCAUCCUCACGGUGGAUACUCCCCUCCCCAACCCCGGAACCUUGGGACAAAAAUGGGUCGUUGCGGAAUUUCAUCGGUGUUCUGCGAUCUGCAUCGAGGGUAUUAUCGUCACUAUCUUCACUUUUGACAUUCACCAUACUGCCGGCGCCCCAGCUGGAGUCCUCUGAAUCUACAAUUAUCAUCUCAUUCUUGGUUCUCUUCGAGGUGCUAUUGGUUCUGUCUGUAGGCUUGCGCUUCCGGGUAGAGAGGGUCUUGAUGCCAAACGUGCAUUUUACUUUAGUGGGAGUUUUGGGGCUCGGCUUUUUAGGAGUAGGCCCAUUGUUGCCGGCUUCCUGCAGAGACGAAGUUCCAGUUCCUGGUGUUGGAUUCCCAUUUGGGUUGAUGCCGUUGGCUUUCACCAGGCGCUCGUAGCGCUUGGCUCUGUGGUUUGAUGGUCAGCACUCAUUGCAGGUCACAUUGUGACAUGAUGACGAAGGAGUAGGGUUUGACAAGAUAGCGGGACCGAGAAGGAGUGUGCAUCGAAUGGCAAGGUAUGAGAAAAUGUAUGAUAUGUCCACCUAAAGAUUUCUCCAUCGUGAGCAAGUACACAAAUACUCUGAGGCCAGCAUAUAGUGUCUGAUAAUACGAUGAAAUGAAACCUAUGAAGCGAAUGGAAAGUUACCUUUCCACUAUUCGAGUACUUGACACAUUUCAGCAAGAAAUGAAGUUGUUCAUCACUGGUGGCAGCAGGCAUUUUGAAGACACUCCGUUUAUUUGAAAGAUGAUACUGCAAUGGCAAGAAAGAAAUUAUACGAGUUAAAUUUGUGGAUGAGGUCUUAGGUUUAGAUCAGUUCGCUAUACGUGACCAGGGAGUGAGAGAAGAGUGACGGUUGUCUAAAUGAAAUCUUAUCAGAGGCAAAUGUCAGCACAGGACCUGAGACUAUAAUGCUGAAGCAACAUCUCAUACCUGCCAUUGACUCUCACUCAGCAAGGAGAAUAAUUGACAUGACCUGUUGGCAACAGAGGAGACAUAUGAAUAGGUCUUGGUAAAUGUGGUGAACAGUCGAUGGGUUAAAGGAAUUGUUCUUUGGGGGGAGGAGAAGACCAACAGGUUGGUACAAGUGCGGUGAAUGAAGAGAUGGCAACAGGCAGAAGUUGAAAGAAAGGCAAAUAUGACACUCGAGACACACAUAGUUAUAACACAAUGGAUGAACACAUAUGUGUCCCGUAUUUUUGUGAAUAAUGGGAUUCAUAUAUAACUCACCAAAAUGCUUUGAAGUGGGAUUGAGCUUGAGCUAUAUUGGUAUUACCGGAGAUAAAUUCGUAGCUAUCAGCUAGGCCAUGGCAAUUUUUCAACCUGAGGUCAUGAAU